rnacentral:tRNA from 1 species
GCCAUAGCUUAGUGGGAAGAGGGCUUGCCUAGCAUACAGGAAGCUCUGGGUUCUAUCCCCAGUGCUGCA